rfam:Ixodes scapularis strain Wikel colony gcontig_1108379424520, whole genome shotgun sequence.
GGAGUCGUGGCCGAGUGGUUAAGGCGAUGGGCUAGAAAUCCAUUGGAGUCUUCACGCACAGGUUCGAAUGCUGUCGACUGCG